GAUGAACGCUGACAGGAUGCUUAACACAUGCAAGUCUACUUGAAUUUGGGUUUUUUAACUUAGAUUUGGGUGGCGGACGGGUGAGUAACGCGUAAAGAACUUGCCUCACAGCUAGGGACAACAUUUGGAAACGAAUGCUAAUACCUGAUAUUAUGAUUAUAAGGCAUCUUAGAAUUAUGAAAGCUAUAUGCGCUGUGAGAGAGCUUUGCGUCCCAUUAGCUAGUUGGAGAGGUAACGGCUCACCAAGGCGAUGAUGGGUAGCCGGCCUGAGAGGGUGAACGGCCACAAGGGGACUGAGACACGGCCCUUACUCCUACGGGAGGCAGCAGUGGGGAAUAUUGGACAAUGGACCAAGAGUCUGAUCCAGCAAUUCUGUGUGCACGAUGACGUUUUUCGGAAUGUAAAGUGCUUUCAGUUGGGAAGAAAAAAAUGACGGUACCAACAGAAGAAGUGACGGCUAAAUACGUG
rnacentral:rRNA from 1 species